GCGAACCGCGUUUUUCGGUACCACAUCUAUAGCUCAGCAAUUGCGAACUAAUGAUGUGGUUUUUCUCGUUCAGCUGAUUUUUAUGUCACACAUUUACCCUGCCGAAGGACCCAACAAAAUGUUGCAUUAUUAUAUUAAUGCUCAAAGGGCUGCACUGCCUGUACUCACAUAUCGUUAAGCAAUCAAAAAGAACUUUGAUCGCGUAGUUUAUCGGCACAGACAGUUGGCUCUUUGAUUUGUUCUGUCGACCGUUCUGAAUCGUACGAUAUAUAUAAUCAACACACAAAGUGCUUGGCUGUUCAUGUGGCAGUGCCACUUCUGGACGUUAUUGUACGGAAUCGUAUAUGUGGUUUUAUCAUAACAUUCUUCUAAACAACUUCUGUGAAGGUUCUCGCCAAGCUCCGCAGUAACUUUUUGCCAAAGUCGCAGAUUAACAAUGCUUACACUUUGCUGCCGUGAAGUCUUUUCAGUUUGAAUACUUGUUGCUCGAUUUUUUUCUCGGCUGCUUUGUAUUUGUUUCCGACAACCAGUAGAUUUUCUAUCACCUUUAGCUAAGGACAUCUACUUGUAUCCACUCGAGAUUACAAUUUACACCAACACGCAACUGGCCACUGUAUGCCGUACAUUGACCAUCACUGAUCAUUUAACGGAGUAUAUGUUGUUGUGUUCUGGGAUUAUGGAGGAAUUCAAAGACUCGCCUGUUUCCCCGAAUCCUCCGCAAAACAAAACACUGCGCAGCAAUGCCAUACAAAGGAAAAUCAACGAACUUAUGGCCAACAACGAAAAAACUCUUCAGGCAACCCAAGAAGUUUUGGCAGCGCCAAUUACUCCAACUCACCUCGCUCCACCCCGGAAAAUUAGCGGGUCGCAGCUAAGCGGUUCGCUUCCCAAUAUAUCCUUUGCUAACUUCCCGGGAGAUCUGCUGCCUCACUAUGACACUCGGAGUUCACCUUCGCCGAUGCGACAUGAGCGCAGCGCAAGCCCGCGCACAGUACCAUUCCCUUGCGGAGGUCACUCUCCUCGCCAUAUGUCGCGCACGCCGGACAUGGCCGGGAGUCCUAAUCAGAAUGGCUUGCCGCUGCCCUUUCCACCCGGAUAUGCCCCCGCGCGAACUAACUCUCAUUCCAACCUUCUUGAUCUUCCUUCGCCUGGCGCACUCAGCCCCUUGGCCGAUCCUUCCCUAGUGACAUCGUUGCACCCGCCCGUGUUACGGAAACGGAGUAGUUCAUACAGUCCGAUAACUACUCUCAGUCCCGAAGAGGAAAUGUCCCUGAGUUACAGUAUGAAUCUUGGGCGCCAGAUUACGAUUCCGGUACCAAAUGUGCCGGGACCUUGGAAUAGCAAGCCUGUAGUGCCACAGUUCUCGCCCCAUAGCAUUCCUAUACCUUCACAGUUUCGUAAUCGAAAGUGCGGCUGUGCGGGUGCACCGAAUCCCUUGCAGCUACAAAUGCCUGCACACUCUCAUAAUGGCCCAGACCAGUCGGGGUACAACGGAAGUCCAUUCCAAAGCACCCAGUUUCUGCCUGCCCAUUCUAUUCCCAGUCAGCAUUACGCCAACGGACAAUUCAGCCGCUCCAGUUCGUCAUCGAGCUUCGAUGCCGUGAACGGUUAUCCGCCAUUGCAAGCUAAUAAUAACAAUGCUAAUUUAAACCCGGCUGGGUUUGAUGGAGUUCCCACCUACAUUCCACCAGCAUUUAGUCCGUCAGCCAGCAUGGCCAAUUUGACCCUGGACUGCGGAUAUACUCCGACGUUGACGGAUAGCCCAAAUAUACAAUCAAUACAGUCACCUCCGUCUUACCAACCGGACGUUUUUCCUAUGGGCGGUUUAUCAAGAAUGUCAUUCAGCGAGCCGGUUAUGCAUCAGAACAGGAUAGACUUCCAAAAUAACUACAACAAUAUUCCUAGCGUGAUAAUAACAGAGCCGAACGAUGCGUUAAACGGACCGUUGUCUCCUGCCACGGAGGAGGCCCUUAACAAUAUAUUUGUGGAGUUUUUGGGGAUUGAUCCUGAGAAAGCGCAGCAGCUGGAAUCUGGAAUUCCCAGUGACCUAGAUAUUGCAAUCAAGACAGAACCUUCCUCCCAAAUGGCCGACAUGAACAUUGACGAUGAUUUGGCAAUACUAAAUGAAAUUGCUCUGAGGGAACUGCACUCGCCUGGAAAUGCUUCUGUAAACUGGAUUCGCUAAUGCAGUCACCCCAGCCAGAGAAUUCGGUCACUGAGUAUAAAUAUACUUUUCUGUUUCUUUGGUUUUGUAGCACUUUAACAUUUGGUUGUUUAACUUGUUUUCUUACUGAAUGUUUUAAUAGGUGUAUCAGGAAUACGCUUGCACAUUUACCUGUUGAAGAAAUCAAUAGAAAUAUAUGCACACAAUACUGUGCGGAGUGCCUAAAGCCCGUCGAUGUGUAUGGUCAUUACGGCUUAUCUUGUGCCUUCUCGCACGCCACGGCAGCAUGAACAGUAUUCUGUGCAAAAUAACUGCAAAUCGUCGGUAUCCGCCGGCAUUCCCGCAAAAUUGGAGCCACGAAGAACAUCUCACACAUCACAGCGUCGCCCAGAUGGGCGCACCACCUUCGCCUGGAAACGGUGCACCACCUUCGCCCGGUAUGUGUCUGGCAUGGGAUGUGACCUGCGUGGAAUAUACCGUGGCGUUGUCUCACCGGAAACCGACGUCAGUUACCGCGGGAUCCGCCGCUGCGCAGGCUGAGAAUAGGAAAGCGAACUUAUACUAGUACCUGGAGGGCAGCUCAUACAUCGCACCGCUUGCUUUCGAAAUACUCGGGCCAUGGGGAAACUCGGCUACCCUUUUAGUGAAAGAAAUUGGCAAGCAGCUCCAGCAACAUACUGGGAAGCCUCGCUCUCAUGAGUUUCUCUCAUGAGUUGACAAAAACAAACUGAUCUUAAAAGAUGUCACAGCGCUAGAGUAUGUCGUUUUCAGCUGCUUGAAAAAUCUUUAGUACGAAUACUACCGGGUAGGAAUACCCAAAAACGGUCAUGUUGUUGCGGUCAGACGUUAUUCCUUCCCUCUUCCCAUAUGAUACAGGUGAAAGAGGGAAGAAAUGACC